UACGAAGGGUGCUAGCGUUGUUCGGAAUUACUGGGCGUACAGCGCGCGUAGGCGGUCUAUCAAGUCAGAGGUGAAAGCCCUGGGCUCAACCCAGGAAUUGCCUUUGAAACUGAUAGACUUGAGUACUGGAGGGGAUAGCGGAAUUUCUAAUGUAGAGGUGAAAUUCGUAGAUAUUAGGAGGAACACCGGUGGCGAAGGCGGCUAUCUGGACAGUAACUGACGCUGAGGCGCGAAAGCGUGGGGAUCAAACAGG
rnacentral:rRNA from 1 species